GAUGAACGCUGGCGGCGUGCCUAAUACAUGCAAGUCGAGCGAACGGACGAGAAGCUUGCUUCUCUGAUGUUAGCGGCGGACGGGUGAGUAACACGUGGAUAACCUACCUAUAAGACUGGGAUAACUUCGGGAAACCGGAGCUAAUACCGGAUAAUAUUUUGAACCGCAUGGUUCAAAAGUGAAAGACGGUCUUGCUGUCACUUAUAGAUGGAUCCGCGCUGCAUUAGCUAGUUGGUAAGGUAACGGCUUACCAAGGCAACGAUGCAUAGCCGACCUGAGAGGGUGAUCGGCCACACUGGAACUGAGACACGGUCCAGACUCCUACGGGAGGCAGCAGUAGGGAAUCUUCCGCAAUGGGCGAAAGCCUGACGGAACAACGCCGCGUGAGUGAUGAAGGUCUUCGGAUCGUAUAACUCUGUUAUUAGGGAAGAACAUAUGUGUAAGUAACUGUGCACAUCUUGACGGUACCUAAUCAGAAAGCCACGGCUAACUACGUG
rnacentral:rRNA from 1 species